rnacentral:rRNA from 1 species
CAAUGCGCGUCCUACCAUGCAAGUCAAGGCGUAGCCGAAGGGCUACGACUGGCGCACGGGUGAGUAACGCGUAGGUAACCUACCCCUACCCCUGACAUAACACCGAGAAAUCGGUGCUAAUAUCAGAUGAGGAGCCGAAAGGCUUCAAAGGGGCAACCCGGGUAGGGAUGGGCCUGCGUCCGAUUAGGUAGUUGGUAGGGUAAAAGCCUACCAAGCCGACGAUCGGUAGCUGGCCUGAGAGGGUGGUCAGCCACACUGGGACUGAGACACGGCCCAGACUCCUACGGGAGGCAGCAGUGAGGAAUAUUGGGCAAUGGGCGAAAGCCUGACCCAGCGACGCCGCGUGUGGGAUGACGGAGCUCUGCUUCGUAAACCACUGUCGGAGGGGAAGAAAAGCUCCCACGGGGAGCUGGGACUGUACCCUCAGAGGAAGGAUCGGCUAACUACGUGCCAGCAGCCGCGGUAAAACGUAGGAUCCGAGCGUUGUCCGGAAUCACUGGGUGUAAAGGGUGCGUAGGCGGGCUUGCGCGUCAAGGGUUAAAGACCUCGGCUCAACCGAGGCAAUGCCCUUGAUACGGCAAGUCUUGAGUGCGGGAGAGGAUGGUGGAAUUCCUGGUGUAGCGGUGAAAUGCGUAGAGAUCA